GUAGAGUGCGGCGGGGGAGCGGGGGUAAGCAGAAGGGGGGGAGAGUGGCGGGGAUGGAGGGGGGGUAAAGGGAGCGGAGGCGGACGUGUAAGUGGUGGGUGAAAGCCCAGGGCGCAACCCUGGAAUUGGCUUCGAGACUGGAGGUCUUGAGUUCGGGAGAGGGGAGUGGAAGGCCGAGUGGAGAGGUGAAAUUCGUAGAUAUUCGGCGGAACACCAGUGGCGAAGGCGACUCACUGGCCCGAUACUGACGCUGAUGCGCGAAAGCGUGGGGAGCAAACAGGAUUAGAUACCCCGGUAGUC
rnacentral:rRNA from 1 species